CUAUAAUGCAGUCGAGCGCGACUGAUUACACCGUCCUUCGGGACACCGUAAUCAUCGAGCGGCGGACGGGUGAGUAACACGUGGGCAACCUACCCUUAAGACUGGGAUAACCGCGGGAAACCGUGGCUAAUACCGGAUAAUACUUUUAUACAACGGUAUAGAAGUUGAAAGGUGGAUUUCUAUCACUUAAGGAUGGGCCUGCGGCGCAUUAGCUGGUUGGUAAGGUAACGGCUUACCAAGGCGACGAUGCGUAGCCGACCUGAGAGGGUGAUCGGCCACACUGGAACUGAGACACGGUCCAGACUCCUACGGGAGGCAGCAGUAGGGAAUCUUCCGCAAUGGGCGAAAGCCUGACGGAGCAACGCCGCGUGUGCGAAGAAGGUCUUCGGAUCGUAAAGCACUGUUGUUAAGGAAGAACGACAGUAAGAGUAACUGCUUACUGUGUGACGGUACUUAACCAGAAAGCCACGGCUAACUACGUGCCAGCAGCCGCGGUAAUACGUAGGUGGCAAGCGUUAUCCGGAAUUAUUGGGCGUAAAGCGCGCGUAGGCGGCGAGAUUAGUCUGAUGUGAAAGCCCCCGGCUCAACCGGGGAAGGUCAUUGGAAACUGUUUCCCUUGAGUGCAGAAG
rnacentral:rRNA from 1 species